rnacentral:rRNA from 1 species
UACGGGGGGGGGCAAGCGUUGUUCGGAAUUACUGGGCGUAAAGGGCGCGUAGGCGGCCUGCUAAGUCGGAUGUGAAAUCCCUCGGCUCAACCGAGGAACUGCAUCCGAUACUGGCGGGCUUGAAUCCGGGAGAGGGAUGUGGAAUUCCAGGUGUAGCGGUGAAAUGCGUAGAUAUCUGGAGGAACACCGGUGGCGAAGGCGGCAUCCUGGACCGGUAUUGGACGCUGAGUGUGAAAGCGUGGGGAGCAAACGG